UCCAUGAUCGAGGAGAGCAGUGAUUUGAUCCUUCGGUAUUUCCAUUAUUUUUCUUUUUCUCUCUUUCCCGCAAGUCAAAUGAAGAGGAAGAAGAGUACUGAUUCCAGAGUAUUAAGUGUUGUGAACUGAGAGUUUCAGCUUCGAAAAGGAAAUUCUGAUGUUUCAUGCAGAACAGCUUGGUGAUGAAGAUAAUUUGCUCGAGUUUGAAAGGCAUCUUUAUUCAUUAAACAUAGAAAUUGGAGCGUCUGGCAUUUGCAUCCAUGCAAGUAAAGAACAGUCAAAAGACAUGAUCUAUAAUAUAGUUCAAAACAACUUCACUCUGGCAAUCCUUGUAAGAGGCACCUUGAAGCGCCCACCUGUAGGUUUCCUGGUGUUCCUGUUUGUGGCAAGAUCAGGAAUUAUGUCAAUUCAUGAACAAAAAGGGGCAUGUAUUUUGCAACAAAUGCAAGCCCAUAAAAUGACGGUAGACUUGUAAUUAAGACACUAGUUGCACUUACUUGAGAUUCUUUUUGCCCUUUUAUUUCAGAAUUUGGUUGUCCUUUUUC